UAGAGUUUGAUCAUGGCUCAGAUUGAACGCUGGCGGCAGGCUUAACACAUGCAAGUCGAGCGGUAACAGGAAUAGCUCGCUAUUUGCUGACGAGCGGCGGACGGGUGAGUAAUGCUUGGGAAUAUGCCUUAUGGUGGGGGACAACAGUUGGAAACGACUGCUAAUACCGCAUAAUGUCUACGGACCAAAGGGGGGGAUCUUCGGACCUCUCGCCAUUUGAUUAGCCCAAGUGAGAUUAGCUAGUUGGUAAGGUAAUGGCUUACCAAGGCGACGAUCUCUAGCUGGUUUGAGAGGAUGAUCAGCCACACUGGGACUGAGACACGGCCCAGACUCCUACGGGAGGCAGCAGUGGGGAAUAUUGCACAAUGGGGGAAACCCUGAUGCAGCCAUGCCGCGUGUGUGAAGAAGGCCUUCGGGUUGUAAAGCACUUUCAGUUGUGAGGAAAGGUGUGUAGUUAAUAGCUGCAUACUGUGACGUUGACAACAGAAGAAGCACCGGCUAACUUCGUGCCAGCAGCCGCGGUAAUACGAGGGGUGCAAGCGUUAAUCGGAAUUACUGGGCGUAAAGCGUUCGUAGGCGGUUGAAUAAGCAAGAUGUGAAAGCCCAGGGCUCAACCUUGGAACUGCAUUUUGAACUGUUCGACUAGAGUACUGUAGAGGGGGGUAGAAUUUCA
rnacentral:rRNA from 1 species